UCUCAAAUGUAUGAGUGCRCCCUGCUCUGGCGGCGUCUUCAGUGUGAUAAGCAUCUUCACUGGAACAAGCUCCUUUUGGGGCACGUCUGCUCUGUGGGCUCUGUGCUGCAAACCGUCCUGUUUGGACAUGCACCUUGACAAUUUGACCUCAAAUCGGGUGGGACUACCCGCUGAACUUAAGCAUAUCAAUAAGCGGAGGAAAAGAAACUAACAAGGAUUCCCCUAGUAACGGCGAGUGAAGAGGGAAAAGCUCAAAUUUUGAAUCUGGCAUCUUUGAUGUUCGAGUUGUAAUCUAGAGAAGUGUUUUCUGCCUUGGACCACACAUAAAUUCCCUGGAACGGGGUGUCAUAGAGGGUGAGAAUCCCGUUUGUGGUGUGGACUGCCAUGGCUCUGCGAUACACUCUCGACGAGUCGAGUUGUUUGGGAAUGCAGCUCAAAACGGGUGGUAAAUUCCAUCUAAAGCUAAAUAUUGGCGAGAGACCGAUAGCGAACAAGUACCGUGAGGGAAAGAUGAAAAGCACUUUGGAAAGAGAGUGAAACAGUACGUGAAAUUGUUGAAAGGGAAGCGUUUGAAGUCAGUCACGUUGGUCGGAAUUCAGCCUGGCAUCUGCCUGGUGUACUUUCUGGCAAACGGGUCAGCAUCAGUUUCGAUCGAGGGAGAAAGGCUUGGGGAAUGUAGCUGUCUUCGGACAGUGUUAUAGCCCCUUGUUGCAUGUCUCGGUUGGGACUGAGGAACGCAGCACGCCUUAUGGCUGGGGUUCGCCCUCGGUACGUGCUUAGGAUGC
rnacentral:rRNA from 1 species